ensembl:snRNA U6 U6 spliceosomal RNA
GUGUUCACUUAGACAACAUAUAUAUUAAAGUUGGAACAAUACAGAGAAGAUUAGCAUUUGCCCCUGAGCAAAAAUGACAGGAAAAUUCAUGAAGCAUUCCACAAAUUA